rnacentral:rRNA from 1 species
GUAUAAGAGACAGCAGCAGCCGCGGUAAUACGUAGGGGGCUAGCGUUGUCCGGAUUUAUUGGGCGUAAAGAGCGUGUAGGCGGCCAGGUAGGUCUGGUGUGAAAACUCGAGGCUUAACCUCGAGAUGUCAUCGGAAACCAUCUGGCUAGAGUCCGGAAGAGGAGAGUGGAAUUCCUGGUGUAGCGGUGAAAUGCGCAGAUAUCAGGAAGAACACCAAUGGCGAAAGCAGCUCUCUGGGACGGUACUGACGCUGAGACGCGAAAGCGUGGGGAGCGAACA